UACCAGCACCCCGAGUGGUCGGGACGAUUAUUGGGCCUAAAGCAUCCGUAGCCGGUUUUACAAGUCCUCCGUUAAAUCCAGCUGCUUAACAGAUGGGCUGCGGAGGAUACUAUAAGACUAGGAGGCAGGAGAGGCAAGCGGUACUCAGUGGGUAGGGGUAAAAUCCGUUGAUCCAUUGAAGAACACCAGUGGCGAAGGCGGCUUGCCAGAAUGCGCUCGACGGUGAGGGAUGAAAGCUGGGGGAGCAAACCGG
rnacentral:rRNA from 1 species